GACGAACGCUGGCGGCGUGCUUAACACAUGCAAGUCGAACGGAAAGGCCUCUUUCGGGGGGUACUCGAGUGGCGAACGGGUGAGUAACACGUGAGUAACCUGCCCUUGACUUUGGGAUAACUUCAGGAAACUGGGGCUAAUACCGGAUAGGAGCUCCUGCUGCAUGGGGGGGGUUGGAAAGUUUCGGCGGUUGGGGAUGGACUCGCGGCUUUUCAGCUUGUUGGUGGGGUAGUGGCUUACCAAGGCUUUGACGGGUAGCCGGCCUGAGAGGGUGACCGGCCACAUUGGGACUGAGAUACGGCCCAGACUCCUACGGGAGGCAGCAGUGGGGAAUAUUGCACAAUGGGUGGAAGCCUGAUGCAGCAACGCCGUGUGCGGGAUGACGGCCUUCGGGUUGUAAACCGCUUUCGCUCAUGACGAAGCUUUGUGUGACGGUAGUGGGUAAAGAAGCACCGGCUAACUACGUG
rnacentral:rRNA from 1 species